GCGCGCGUGCGCGGCCGCCGUGUACUGCUGGCUGCGCCCUCAGUUGCAGACGAGUUGCAGCUCGCGAGCCGUCGUCCGUCGAGGGCUAAGAUGGCGACUACGACGUCGUCGUACACUCGCACGGGCGUGCUUGAAGUGUACGCCAAACAGCAAUGGCACAAAGUGCUAGCGACGCUCGAAGAGGACCAUCUCAGUUUGUGCCUAGACGAGAGCUAUGAAGUACCGCCAAUCACUAAUAACGGCACGCUUUCGGAUAGCGAACCAAGCGACAUCCCGGAAAGCAUCGCCAACACCAAGCGGGUCGUCCGAGUAGUUAAGCAGGACAACAACGGUCUCGGCAUCAGCAUAAAGGGCGGCAAAGAGAACAAGAUGCCCAUCCUCAUAAGCAAGAUCUUCAAAGGCAUGGCAGCAGACACAACGGAACAGCUUUACGUUGGAGACGCCAUCCUGUCGGUCAACGGGGAAGAUCUGAGGGACGCAACACACGACGAAGCGGUCAGGGCCCUCAAGCGUGCCGGCAAGGUUGUUGACUUGGAAGUGAAAUACCUGCGGGAGGUGACGCCCUACUUCCGCAAGGCAUCCGUGCUGGCGGAGAUGGGCUGGGACUUUGCACCAGGCGGCCUGCUGUCCCGGGGAACUGCGGCGUCGCAUCCACAGGGUCGGCCCGACUGCCGGCGCGUGCCACUGCUGCUGUGCCAGCUGGCGCGCUCGCUCACCGUACCAGAGCCGCGUGUGCUUGAACUCCACUCGCCCGACAGGCGCAGCGUGUGCCUGCUUCGCUGCGCUGACGCGGCCCAAUGCUCCGCCUGGUUCAAUGCGCUGCACGCGGCCCUGGCACGCGUCAUGGCGCAGGCCGUAGUUGAGGCCGGACACCUGCUGCGCGAUGUACUCGACCAGGCGCAACUCCAGCACAUGGGCUGGCUCUCCGAGAAGACACGGGAAGAUUCAGUGACGGCACAGUGGCGUGCUGUGUUCGUUGCAAUCACAGACAGGGACCUCCUGUUUUAUGACCUGGUUCCCUGGACCAAGGAGGCCUGGGCUGUGCCUGUGCACAGUGUGCCUUUGCUUCACACUAGGCUUGUGACAACAAGUUCUGGCAGGGUCUCCGUGGGACCAUCAGCUGGGGGUGAGGCAACCACACUGACACUGCGACUUGGCACGCGCCAGGGAGUCCAGUCACGGCUCAUGCGUGUUGAAACCCACCGAGACCUGGCAGUGUGGGCACGCCACCUGGUGCAUGGUGCCCAUCUUGCUGUGGCUGCCGCCAAGGAAGUGCGCUUUGCCUGUCUUUUCCAAGGCCAGGAAUGCACUCUUACAUUACACUAUGAAGAUGGCUUUCUUUUGCAAGAAAACCGCAGGCAACUGACCCUCUGGCAGUUUUCAUUCGAAAGACUACGAAAUUCUGGUGAUGAUGGCAUGCGUCUCGCUUGGCUUGACUUUGGUGGAGAAGAUGGAGAAAAGGAGCUGGACUUGAUGCAGUGCCCUAAACCAUUUGUGUUCACACUGCACACAUUCCUGUCUGCCAAAGUAACCCGGAUGGGCCUUGUGGCAUGACAACUACAGGACCACCACGUCGCAGCAGCUGCUCCGUUGGUGCAGCAGCAAUGGCCCAUCUUGGGAUGCUGAGCCACACCUAGGAAAAUAGCAGCUGUGCCUCUGUUGCCAGGACUGUGUAAAAAGACAAGCCAGAGCAGUGAGGCAGGCUAUGUAGCCCAACCACUGCUCUAGCUGCCAUUCGUGUCCAUGCAACCUUUCACGGCCUGCAGAUGCCCUGGCAGCAGAUGUGCCUGCACUAACAGCCGCAGGUGAAUUUUGUCACGCAUCGUGGUGGUCUCACAGGCUUGUUGCCUGGGAACACACUAAAAAAAUACAACUGGAGAGGACCCUCAGGGGGCCAGCAUUUACACAGCGUCUAAAGUUUCUACCAAGCUGCCCUUAAGGGACACUGAAGGAAGGAGCUGAAACGUGCUGCCCAUUUAACAUGCACUCCAUCAGUUGUGACCCGGUGAUCGUCGGGGUGCAACUUUUCAUCAUCUCACACAGCAGCAUUCCUUCAAGGGACAAGAAAUUACAUCUGUCAUAUAGUGGAAUUGUAAUGCCUCGCGUCAGCGUGUAGGAAAUGAAUGCUGUGAAAGAUGUCUAUGUAGCUAAGUAGCAAGCUUUUUAUCAGAUUCUCUGUGUUUAGUGGCGUUCAGCUGCAAAAAAAAAAACACA
rnacentral:misc_RNA from 1 species